CCAGACUCCUACGGGAGGCAGCAGUGGGGAAUAUUGCACAAUGGGGGGAACCCUGAUGCAGCGACGCCGCGUGGGUGCAGGAGCACCUCGGUGCGUAAAGCCCUAUCGGCAGGGAAGAAAUUGGACGGUACCUGACUAAGAAGCCCUGGCUAACUACGUGCCAGCAGCCGCGGUAAUACGUAGGGGGCAAGCGUUAUCCGGAUUCACUGGGUGUAAAGGGAGCGUAGACGGCCAUGCAAGCCUGGAGUGAAAGCCCGGGGCCCAACCCCGGGACUGCUCUGGGAACUGUGCGGCUGGAGUGCGGGAGGGGCAGGCGGAAUUCCUGGUGUAGCGGUGAAAUGCGUAGAUAUCAGGAGGAACACCGGCGGCGAAGGCGGCCUGCUGGACCGCGACUGACGUUGAGGCUCGAAAGCGUGGGGAGCAAACAGGAUUAGAUACCCUCGUAA
rnacentral:rRNA from 1 species